GCUGGCCAGCAGCCAAUCCCCGUCCAGGGCCCGCGGGCAGUUCGGCUGCGGAAUCAGACUUCUAGUCCACUUCGCCGAGGCGGGGAACGGGAUGAAGCGACUUAUCUCGCAGUGGGGGACGGAGGCGCCUGCGGGGUACCGCCUGAAGGCGGCCAGGAGCAUGCCCGCCGGGUCUGCGGAACCGAAAAGGUGUGUCUUUUCCUAAACAAGAAGAAAUGGGGGUCCGCUCACCCAGUGCCACGGCGACGAGCGGGAGCAGAGGCUUCAUGGUGCUGCGAUCUCUCCUACCAAGUCUCCUCUUCCCGCUUUCACUUUCAUUUUCCCUCAACUGCCGGGGUGAGGAACUGGAAACUCCCCGCUCUGGUCAGGUGAGGGCGUGACUGCACGUGGGAGGAACGCCGCCCACAAAGGCCAAAUCGAGACGUCGAAACCCUGUCUCCCGCUCUCCAGCCACUCCUAGCCCGGCACCCACCCCCGUGGAUUACCCGUCAGCGCCAAUUUUGAGCCCUUUAGCAGCCUAGGUUCCGCCCUCCGGCUGCGUCCUCUCUGCGCCACCUCCCUUAGAGCCACAUUCCCGCGGUCCCAGACCUAUGACAGGUCCCAGCAAACAGAGGGGUGUUGGGAAGCCAAGUGAAGUGACCAAUAAAUAUUUUAAUCACCGUUAAAAGUUAAGA